AUUGAACGCUGGCGGCAUGCCUUACACAUGCAAGUCGAACGGCAGCACGGGUGCUUGCACCUGGUGGCGAGUGGCGAACGGGUGAGUAAUGCAUCGGAACGUGCCCAGUCGUGGGGGAUAACGCAGCGAAAGUUGUGCUAAUACCGCAUACGUCCUGAGGGAGAAAGCAGGGGAUCUUCGGACCUUGUGCGAUUGGAGCGGCCGAUGUCAGAUUAGCUAGUUGGUGAGGUAAGAGCUCACCAAGGCGACAAUCUGUAGCUGGUCUGAGAGGAUGAUCAGCCACACUGGAACUGAGACACGGUCCAGACUCCUACGGGAGGCAGCAGUGGGGGAAUUUUGGACAAUGGGGGCAACCCUGAUCCAGCCAUGCCGCGUGAGUGAAGAAGGCC
rnacentral:rRNA from 1 species